AGGACGAACGCUGGCGGCGUGCCUAACACAUGCAAGUCGAGCGGAGUUAACAAGAGGAAGUUUCGGAUGGAAUUUGUUAAUUUAGCGGCGGACGGGUGAGUAACGCGUGAGCGACCAACCUUGCACAGGGGGAUAACGGACCGAAAGGUUCACUAAUACCGCAUGAGACCACGGUGUUGCAUGACACAGAGGUCAAAGGAGCAAUCCGGUGCAAGACGGGCUCGCGUCCGAUUAGGUAGUUGGUGGGGUAAUGGCCCACCAAGCCUAUGAUCGGUAGCCGACCUGAGAGGGUGAUCGGCCACAUUGGAACUGAGAUACGGUCCAAACUCCUACGGGAGGCAGCAGUGGGGAAUAUUGGGCAAUGGGGGGAAAAACCCCCUGACCCAGCAACGCCGCGUGAAGGAAGAAGGUUUUCGGAUUGUAAACUUCUGUCCUUGGUGAAGAGAAGAAGACGGUAGCCAAGGAGGAAGCCCCGGCUAACUACGUGCCAGCAGCAGC
rnacentral:rRNA from 1 species